AACUCUUAGCAACGGAUAUCUUGGUUCUCGUAUCGAUGAAGAACGCAGCAAAAUGCGAUACGUAAUGCGAAUUGCAGAAUUCAGUGAAUCAUCAAAUCUUUGAACGCAAAUUGCGCUCUCGGGAUAGGCCUGGGAGCACGCCUCUUUGAGUAUCGUUUCCAACACAACUCGCAAGCGUGCUUGUAAUGAGCAAGCCUGCGGAAACUGAGCCUUCUCCGCUGCUCGUUCAGCGAAGAUGCUUUAAAUGCCGCGAGUGACAUGGGUUGUCAGCAAAUAGCCAACUCUGUCUCUGGUGACGAGGAUAACUUCACAUUCAGUUGUGAACCCUUCCAUCGUGACUGGAGGCAAAGAGCGAGCAGUUCGCUGUGACCAAUGUGUUACGGACCUUCUCUAGAUCGGUGCCUUUGCAGCACUGGUUGUGAGAAAACUUACUUUGAACUAGAUCUCAAAUGAAGCGAGAAAACCCGCUGAACUUAAGCAUAUCAUUAAGCGGAGGAAAAGAAACUAACAAGGAUGCCCUCAGUAACGGCGAGUGAAGCGGGCAGAGCUCAAACUGAAAAUCGAGGCUCCAUGCGGGGUUUCGAAUUGUAGUCUAUAGACGCGCUAUCAGCGAUGAACCGGGUAUGAAUCUUUUGAAACAAGGUGUCAUAGAGGGUGAGAACCCCGUCUUUGACUCGGAGCUCAUUGCGUACGAUGCGUGUUC
rnacentral:misc_RNA from 1 species